AUAAGAAAAUAUGGUGAUUACCAUAGCAUUACAUUGUUGGCUUAAAUGUGCUAGCAUUCUGCCCUAUGGUUUGAGGCCAUGAUGGGCCGAGUCAUGCUCGAAAUGGCGUGAGGCAUGUUCAAAAUUACGUGAGGCUAGUUGGGCCGAGUCACAAUCGAGACCCGUUGGCACUGUAUCUGUACGCUUUAAGUGAAUUGGUUGCGUAUUUCUAACAGCUCGAGCUUUUGUGAUUAAUGGUUAGUGCCAACGAUCCGACAAGUGGUAUCAGAGCCAGAGGUCACGAGUUCGAUUCUCAUAUGCUGCAAAUGCCUCCAAGUACUGGAGGAGGGAUUGUUGGCUUAAAUGGACCGGCAUCAUGGGCAUUGUAUCUAUACACUUUAAGUGAAUUAGUUACGUCACUUUUGGGAUUAAUGGUUAGGGUUCGAUUUCUGCAUGUUGCAAAUGUGUCAAGCUGCUAAAGAGGGGAUUGUUGGUUUAAAUGGGUCAGCAUUCUGUCCUGUGGCGGAAGGCCAUGUUGGGCCGAGUCAUGUUCGAAAUUGCGAGGGGAUUGUUGGUUUAAAUAGGCCAGCAUUUUGUCCUGUGGCGGAAGCCCAUGUUGGGCCGAGUCAUGUUCGAAAUUGCGUGAGGCUGGUUGGGCCGAGUCAUAAUCUAGACCUCUGGGCGCUGUAUCUGUACGCUUUAAGUGAAUUGAUUGCGUAUUUCUAGUAGGUCGAGCUUUUGGAGUUAAUGAUUAGCGCCAACGAUCCGACAAACAUAUCCAAAAAAUUGAACAAAAGAAAAAAGAAAUAAUAUUACUUGAUACGAAAUUUAAUUCUUAAGAAUAAGAACUGUUUUUUGAU
rnacentral:lncRNA from 1 species